GUCUACAGCCAUGCUCCCCUGCACAAGCCCAAUCCCAUCUGAUCUCGGAGGCUAAGCAGGGUCGGACCUGGUUAGUACUUGAAUGGAAGAACGCCUAGGAAGACCAGGUGCUGUAAGCG
rnacentral:rRNA from 1 species